rnacentral:rRNA from 1 species
ACGAACGCUGGCGGCAUGCCUAACACAUGCAAGUCGAACGAGACCUUCGGGUCUAGUGGCGCACGGGUGCGUAACGCGUGGGAACUUGCCCUUAGGUUCGGAAUAACUCCCCGAAAGGGGUGCUAAUACCGGAUAAUGUCUUCGGACCAAAGAUUUAUCGCCUUUGGAUGGGCCCGCGUUGGAUUAGCUAGUUGGUAGGGUAAAAGCCUACCAAGGCGACGAUCCAUAGCUGGUCUGAGAGGAUGAUCAGCCACACUGGGACUGAGACACGGCCCAGACUCCUACGGGAGGCAGCAGUGGGGAAUAUUGGACAAUGGGCGAAAGCCUGAUCCAGCAAUGCCGCGUGAGUGAUGAAGGCCUUAGGGUUGUAAAGCUCUUUUACCCGGGAUGAUAAUGACAGUACCGGGAGAAUAAGCUCCGGCUAACUCCGUG